CACGUCUUCAAAUGGAGCUCUGAAAUGUGCUACCCAGACAUUCAGGAAUUCUUGUUGAGAUAAGAAUGUGAAGCACAGAGAAAACGCAGAGACGUGGCUUUGCUACAAAAUAACACAGAGAAAUGUUGAGGCAAAAUUAUGAAAGUAGGACUCAAGGGAACAAAAUGUCUCGACACCAAGGUGUUGCCUCUAAGCAUGCAAAAUCCACUGCCGAUAUUCUCACCCAGAGGCCAUAUGAAGUGAUCAACCAG